CCUCCCAGGUAGCUGGGAUUACAGGUGCACACCACCACGCCCAGCUAAUUUUUGUAUUUUUAGUAGAGAUGGGGUUUUACCAUGUUGGCCAGGCUGGUCUUGAACUCCUGACCUCAAGUAAUCCACCAGCCUCGACCUCCCAAAGUGCUAGGAUUACAGGCAUGAGCCACCACACUCCGCCUACUUCUCCAUUGAAGUGCUCUAGUUUUGGUAAAAUCUUCUCCUUGACUUCAGGACCCUCUCCACAUUUAUCCCCAGUCUAUAACUCGCAUAUUUCGUGUUUUCAAACAGAAAACCGUAAUUCAGGAGUGAACAGCAUCCUCUGUAAGGUGUCACAGGAGCAGCCUGAAAUCCAUUAGGCAGUCAUUCUGAAGCUGUGGUGAAAUCGAAGGGAAGCUAAUGUUGCAGCUAGGAAGAUGAGAUCCAGGCUGAGGAUCACACUUUUUCCAGAAUACUUUUUUAGUGUUUCCAAAGCCAGCAAAAGCCGUUUAGAAGUCUCAUCUCCAGAAUGCCAGAAUACACAAAUGUAAGGCUUUAUUUUAGGGGUGGGCCCUGGGUUUUGCAGUCAAGUCAGCCGCUAUUUGUAUGAGCAAGACUUCAUCGGUAGCACUACUGGGCUCCCCCUCUUCUACAUGAUGGCAGCAAUUUGGCCUUAGAAAAUAUGCCUAAGUGACUCCACAGGCUAUAAGCUAUUUUCUUCAUAAGUAGAAAUGGAAGAUUUCUGUUAGGAAGGUAGAAGUCAGUUUUGUCCGUAUGUGGGCCAAACUAUUAAAAAUAAUAAGGCCUGGGGAUUCCUAUGUUCUUAGAUGCUCAAUAAACAUUUCAGUUCAUCAAACUAUGACCAACUUACAAGUCUGUGGCAUUGUGCUAGUUCACUGGACCCUGGGAAAGUCUUUUAAAUCCAAAUGAUACUUUUUGUUUUUUAAAGAGACAGGAUUUUGCUCUGUUGCCUAGGCUGGAGUGCAGUGGCAUGUGAUCACAGCUCACUGUAACCUUGAGCUCCUGGGCUCCAGUGUCCUACCUCAGCCUCUUCAGUAGCUAGGACUAAGGCACAUCCCACCACACCCAGGCAAUUUUAGAAUUUUUUGUAGAUGGCUCUUACUAUGUUGUUCAGGCUGGUCUCUUACUCCUGGCCUCAAGUGAUCCUCCUGCCUCAGCCUCCCAGUGUUGGGACUACAAGCACCAGCCACUGCCCCCAACCCUGCAUUAUGUUCUUAAAGGCAGACCUGAAUCCUGUGCGGUGUCAAUUCAGGUGUGCACUGGCCCCUGAGCCUUACAUACAGGACCCGUUCCUUAGGAUGACGUUGCGUUCCCUUGCUUAGAGCCUCAGCACCAUGGCACCUGGCUCUCCCCCGAUGCCUGGGUCUUGCUCUUGCCCAUUUCCUAGCCAGGGUUUGUGGUCCAGGCAACCUGUCACAUCAGUGUGUUCCAAACAUGGCACCCAGAUCUCAAAAGCUUCUUCAACGCUCCCAUGGUUUGGGAUACACCUCAAGUUUUAACUUACGUACUUCAAGUUUCUUUUAUUCAAUUAGAUACAAACCGUCUGACUUUUGGCUUCUGAAACAGGAAAGUCAAUUUUGUUGUUUUCACUGUACCAUGCUUUUUUAUCUCAGAAUCUUGAUGAACUCUGAAAUGACCCCUGAUGGGGGCAUGCCUCUAUUUAUGCUGAAUAAGAGCCAUUUUACAUUUUACUACAGGUUGAGUGCCCCUAAUCCAAAAAUUUGAAAUGCUCCAAAAUCUGAAACUUUUUGAGCACUUACAUGGUAUUGAAAGGAAAUGCUCAUUGGAACAUUUCCUAUUAGGCAUGCUCAGCCGUUAAGCAUAAUGCAAAUAUUAAAAAAAAAAAUUUCCUAAAUCUUUUAAUACUUCUGGUUCCAAGCAUUUCAGAUAAGGGAUACUCAAGCUCUACCUAUUCCCAAAUUCCCACUAACUAGCUCUUUGGCAGGUCUAUGGAAUAAAAAUCGAUGCUUCUGAUUACUUUAAGGCAUUAUAACCUCAUGAAGUGGUUUCUGAGAUGCAACUGAGUUUUUGUGCUAUUUUAUUGUAUUCUUAUAUCUUUGAAGAUGAAUAAUCCACGUAGUGCAUUUGAGAGGUUCUAUCUGUUCAAGAGAGGAAAUUUAAUAUCCGUGACUACUGUAUGUCAAAUGAUUUAGUGCCUUAUUUAAUUUGUUCCUCUAGGAGUCCUGUGCACUUAUCUUGGGGGAAACAUUGUUCCAUUCUUAGUAACAUGCCUGUUUGGCCUGUGGUCUGAGGUACUUACAACUUGCUGCAGUGUGGUAAAUGUGUCCCUUUUGAAACACUGUUCUGGGGACUUCAGAGAUGACGGACUGCAACCUACCACCUCAUAAAUGAGGGAUCUGAGGUACAAACUGGAACCCGGGUCUUCUGGGCUCAGAGAACUCUCCUCACUACAGCAGACUGCCUGUUUCCAUUUAGGGGAAUGAGAUGCUCUUUCAUAAAUGAUACCAAGUGCAAGAGAACUUAAGGCAGCUCCAAUCGAAGACUGUCUUGGCUGCUUCUGGAAACUACAGAUCACUACUCCCGAAGUCAAAAACGACUAGAACACAGCUUAAAAAUCAAGCCAUUUAAUUGUAUCUUUGAAGGUUGUGCAGGGCGACCACGGAACGGAUCAGCGAGGCCAAGUACACUACCACCAUCUGGUCAUUGGUCUUCAGGUAAAAGGCCUUGACGAACUCCUGCAGGCUGACAUCUGGCAGCAGGUUGAAGACGUCCUGCAGCUGGUAGAUGAUCUGGUGGUUGAUGGGCAGCUUGCCUGUGGCGACUUUUUCCAGGUAGCUCCUGAUA
ensembl:lncRNA novel transcript, antisense to PSMD7